rnacentral:sRNA from 1 species
AUUUUGAUGAAAUUGCGGACAAUUGUCUUGCCCUCAGUUGUUAUAAUACUCUCCGGAUGAAAUUGGACUCCCUGUG